GUGGGGAAUCUUGCGCAAUGGGCGAAAGCCUGACGCAGCCAUGCCGCGUGAAUGAUGAAGGUCUUAGGAUUGUAAAAUUCUUUCACCGGGGACGAUAAUGACGGUACCCGGAGAAGAAGCCCCGGCUAACUUCGUGCCAGCAGCCGCGGUAAUACGAAGGGGGCUAGCGUUGCUCGGAAUUACUGGGCGUAAAGGGAGCGUAGGCGGACAUUUAAGUCAGGGGUGAAAUCCCGGGGCUCAACCUCGGAAUUGCCUUUGAUACUGGGUGUCUUGAGUAUGAGAGAGGUGUGUGGAACUCCGAGUGUAGAGGUGAAAUUCGUAGAUAUUCGGAAGAACACCAGUGGCGAAGGCGACACACUGGCUCAUUACUGACGCUGAGGCUCGAAAGCGUGGGGAGCAAACAGGAUUAGAUACCCUGGUAGUCCACGCCGUAAACGAUGAUUGCUAGUUGUCGGGAUGCAUGCAUUUCGGUGACGCAGCUAACGCA
rnacentral:rRNA from 1 species